AGUGAACGCUGGCGGCAGGCCUAACACAUGCAAGUCGAACGGCAGCACAGUAAGAGCUUGCUCUUAUGGGUGGCGAGUGGCGGACGGGUGAGGAAUACAUCGGAAUCUACUCUUUCGUGGGGGAUAACGUAGGGAAACUUACGUUAAUACCGCAUACGACCUACGGGUGAAAGCGGAGGACCUUCGGGCUUCGCGCGAUUGAAUGAGCCGAUGUCGGAUUAGCUAGUUGGCGGGGUAGAGGCCCACCAAGGCGACGAUCCGUAGCUGGUCUGAGAGGAUGAUCAGCCACACUGGAACUGAGACACGGUCCAGACUCCUACGGGAGGCAGCAGUGGGGAAUAUUGGACAAUGGGCGCAAGCCUGAUCCAGCCAUGCCGCGUGGGUGAAGAAGGCCUUCGGGUUGUAAAGCCCUUUUGUUGGGAAAGAAAAGCAGUCGGUUAAUACCCGAUUGUUCUGACGGUACCCAAAGAAUAAGCACCGGCUAACUUCGUGCCAGCAGCCGCCGUAA
rnacentral:rRNA from 1 species